GACGAACGCUGACGGCGUGCUUAACACAUGCAAGUCGAACGGAAAGGCCCUGCUUUUGUGGGGUGCUCGAGUGGCGAACGGGUGAGUAACACGUGAGUAACCUGCCCUUGACUUUGGGAUAACUUCAGGAAACUGGGGCUAAUACCGGAUAGGAGCUCCUGCUGCAUGGUGGGGGUUGGAAAGUUUCGGCGGUUGGGGAUGGACUCGCGGCUUAUCAGCUUGUUGGUGGGGUAGUGGCUUACCAAGGCUUUGACGGGUAGCCGGCCUGAGAGGGUGACCGGCCACAUUGGGACUGAGAUACGGCCCAGACUCCUACGGGAGGCAGCAGUGGGGAAUAUUGCACAAUGGGCGGAAGCCUGAUGCAGCAACGCCGCGUGCGGGAUGACGGCCUUCGGGUUGUAAACCGCUUUCGCCUGCGACGAAGCGUGAGUGACGGUAAUGGGUAAAGAAGCACCGGCUAACUACGUG
rnacentral:rRNA from 1 species